GUUCUUAUCUUGUUGGAGCUCAGGAUCAGGGCUGAAGUAGAAGGCUUUGGAGCUGCUAAGGGUUGUGAGAGAGAGGAAUUUGGGAGAAUUUUGCAACUUCAACUCAGUAGAUAAUUGAGUUACAACUUGGAUUAGAGCAGCCAUGAUUUCUACUUGGAACUGAACCUUUUAAAUUGAUUUUGCGUACACUCCCACCAGUAGGAAGUAGAAUUCCUGCAGAGCCGCAACAAGAGAGGUGAACCUUGCGACUUGGGUUCGAUGAUUUUUGGAACAUAGUUUGGAGAUGAUUCUUCAACCCAAAGCUAACAACAAGCUGGACUGAAUUGGCGAAGCAGAUGUAGUGAUCACCUUGAGCUGAAUAUUGAGACUCUUUUGAGCUAAAUCAAGCCGAGUUGAGGUGCUUCAACCUGAAUUGAAGCAGAGGUUUAACUUUAGACUAAACUUAGGGGACUUGGAGACUUCAAAUUCCUACGAUUGUGAGUUCGACAAGAGUGGUCGAUUGGAAGAGCCUUCCACAGCGGGAAAGGUUAGGGUUUCCGGCAAGGUGUCAGCGGAUAGCUAGAGCCUCCUCGAUGUUAAUAGACGAAACCACUCCAGCACUUCUAGUUUAGUUUUGGGUUAUACUUUGGGUUUAUGUAGAAUGUAUUCGAUUUUUAUUUUGUAAUAAGGUUUUGGGUUGUAUAAGUUUAUACUUUUAAGUUGUGCUCUGAUUACCUGGUUAGA